rnacentral:rRNA from 1 species
AUUGAACGCUGGCGGCAGGCUUAACACAUGCAAGUCGAGCGAGCGGCGGACGGGUGAGUAAUGUCUGGGAAACUGCCUGAUGGAGGGGGAUAACUACUGGAAACGGUAGCUAAUACCGCAUACCAUCAGAUGUGCCCAGAUGGGAUUAGCUAGUAGGUGGGAUAAUGGCUCACCUAGGCGACGAUCCCUAGCUGGGCUGAGGGGAUGACCAGCAACUCGGGAACUGAGACACGGUCCAGACUCUGACGGAGGGCAGCAGUGGGGAAUAUUGGACAAUGGGGGCAAGCCUGAUGCAGCCAUGCCGCGUGGGUGAAGAAGGCCUUCGGGUUGUAAAGCACGUUCAGCGAGGAGGCGUUACUCGCAGAAGAAGCACCGGCUAACUCCGUGCCAGCCGCCGCGGUAAUAC